GGGCCUGUAGCGUAACGGAUAACGCGCCUGACUUCGGAUCAGGAGAUUGCAGGUUCGAAUCCUGUCAGGCUCG
rfam:Strigamia maritima strain Brora ctg7180001232491, whole genome shotgun sequence.